rnacentral:lncRNA from 1 species
GAUGCCCACACCUGCUGGUCUCACCGCCAGGGCCUGGGCAUCACAGGCAGGGGGAAUGGGGAGGGGACGGUAGCGUCAGCCUACACCCACACGCAGAAGCUGACAAUGACUGUUGGGCUUUUCCAACGAAUACCAGAACACCAUUUCCUGCAGCCUGAAAAGAAGACAGUAUAAUUAUUUGGCAGCAAGAGAAUCCAGGUGCCCUUCCAUGAGAAGCCCAAGCCAUGUGGAGAAGCCACGUCUAGGGACUCCAGUUAACACUCUCAGCUGAGUCCCCAGCUGACAGUCAGCAUCAACUGCCAGCCACCUCUGUCUAAAAGUGGGCUAUCUUGGGCAUCCAGCCCAGUCAAGCCUUCAGAUGAGUCCAGUCCCAGCCACUAUCUCACACAACCACACGAGAGACAUCAAGAACUCCCAGUGGAGUCCAGUCAGCCCAUGGAACUGUAAGAGACAGGAUCUCGCUGCGUUGCUCAGACUGGUCUCGAACUCCUGGGCUUAAGGGAUUCUCCUGCCUCAAUCACAGCCUCCCAAGUAGCUGAGAUUACAAGUGCUCACCACCGUGCCAGCGAGUUCAGUUUUUGAGGGUGGAGCCAAGACUCUGAGGAGAGGGCUGAACUGUGAACCUAGAAGUACCAUCUCCCCCUGCACACACCUUUGGUCAAGUUGACCCCAAGAAGAAGGACAAGUCCUCUGCACGGCGAUGAGGCCAUACACACAGUCUGUGGCCCGGCUUUGGGAGACUGAUGGGACAAAGGAUGUUUUGCACGAUCCUUGGUCUCUGAGCAAAUAUAUACAUGGGUUAACACAAA